rnacentral:tRNA from 1 species
GCCCGUGUGGCUCAGUGGUAGAGCACCCCCUUGGUAAGGGGGAGGUCAUGCGUUCGAUCCGCAUCACGGGCACCA